rnacentral:ncRNA from 2 species
CUACGAUCCGAAGCCUCAGGUGCCCAAUGCCGCUUCGCGGCAACGGGAGAAUCGGGAAGGCGGUGCAAAUCCGCCGCGUGCCCAACGCUGUAAGGACGAUGCCUCGCACAAAUGCCACUGGCUGCCUGGUGCAGUGAUUCACGCUGUCUGACACAUCAAAAGGCGUCUUUUCGGCCCUGGCUGCGUUGCAAAUCCUCGCGAUACCGUCUGGUAUCGCUGUGGUUUGCGCCUUGCCAGAACCAAAAAUCCGUCCUUUUUAUGCGUGCCAUCCAGCGUAAAACACUGCACUGCCGGGAAGGUGUGCGCAGGCAGACGACUCCAAGCCAGAAGACCGGCCUGAGCCAUUUUUGGCGC